rnacentral:rRNA from 1 species
GACGAACGCUGGCGGCGUGCUUAACACAUGCAAGUCAAGGGGGCCCAGCAAUGGGCAACCGGCGAACGGGUGCGUAACACGUGAGCAACCUACCGAAAUGUGGGGGAUAGCCGGCCUAACGGCCGAGUAAUACCGCAUACGCUUUCAGAGAGGCAUUUCUUUGGAAGGAAACCUACGGGACAUUUCGAGGGGCUCGCGGCCUAUCAGCUAGUUGGCGAGGUAACGGCUCACCAAGGCAACGACGGGUAGCUGGUCUGAGAGGAUGGCCAGCCACAUUGGGACUGAGAUACGGCCCAGACUCCUACGGGAGGCAGCAGUGGGGAAUCUUGCGCAAUGGCCUAACGGCUGACGCAGCGACGCCGCGUGUGGGAUGAAGCUCUUCGGAGUGUAAACACUGUUGCCCGGGACGAAUAGCUCGAUUAAUCGAGCCUGACGGUACC